UACGAAGGGGGCUAGCGUUGCUCGGAAUCACUGGGCGUAAAGGGUGCGUAGGCGGGUCUUUAAGUCAGGGGUGAAAUCCUGGAGCUCAACUCCAGAACUGCCUUCGAUACUGAAGAUCUUGAGCUCGGAAGAGGUGAGUGGAACUGCGAGUGUAGAGGUGAAAUUCGUAGAUAUUCGCAAGAACACCAGUGGCGAAGGCGGCUCACUGGCCCGAUACUGACGCUGAGGCACGAAAGCGUGGGGAGCAAACAGG
rnacentral:rRNA from 1 species